AGAGUUUGAUCCUGGCUCAGAACGUACGCUGGCGGCACGCCUAACACAUGCAAGUCGAACGAAGUAGCAAUACUUAGUGGCAGACGGGUGAGUAACAUGUAGGUAUCUACCCUUUGGCCUGGAAUAACACGAGGAAACUUGUGCUAAUACCGGAUAAGUCUUUACGGAGAAAGCUUUAUGCACCAUUGGAUGAGCCUGCACUUGAUUAGUUUGUUGGUGGGGUAAUGGCCUACCAAGACUGUGAUCAAUAGCUGAUUUGAGAGGAUGAUCAGCCACAUUGGGACUGAGACACGGCCCAAACUCCUACGGGAGGCAGCAGUGGGGAAUCUUGCACAAUGGAGGAAACUCUGAUGCAGCGAUGCCGCGUGAGUGAAGAAGGCCUUUGGGUUGUAAAGCUCUUUCGUCGGGGAAGAAAAUGACUGUACCCGAAUAAGAAGGUCCGGCUAACUUCGUGCCAGCAGCCGCGGUAAUACGAAGGGACCUAGCGUAGUUCGGAAUUACUGGGCUUAAAGAGUUCGUAGGUGGUUGAAAAAGUUGGUGGUGAAAUCCCAGAGCUUAACUCUGGAACUGCCAUCAAAACUUUUCAGCUAGAGUAUGAUAGAGGAAAGCAGAAUUUCUAGUGUAGAGGUGAAAUUCGUAGAUAUUAGAAAGAAUACCAAUUGCGAAGGCAGCUUUCUGGAUCAUUACUGACACUGAGGAACGAAAGCAUGGGUAGCGAAGAGGAUUAGAUACCCUCGUAGUCCAUGCCGUAAACGAUGUGUGUUAGACGUUGGAAAUUUAUUUUCAGUGUCGCAGCGAAAGCGAUAAACACACCGCCUGGGGAGUACGACCGCAAGGUUAAAACUCAAAUGAAUUGACGGGGACCCGCACAAGUAGUGGAGCAUGUGGUUUAAUUCGAAGAUACGCGCAGAACCUUACCAACACUUGACAUGUUCGUCGCGACUCUAAGAGAUUAGAGUUUUCGGUUCGGCCGGACGAAACACAGGUGCUGCAUGGCUGUCGUCAGCUCGUGUCGUGAGAUGUUGGGUUAAGUCCCGCAACGAGCGCAACCCUCACUUUUAGUUGCCAUCAUUUAGUUGGGCACUCUGAAAGAACUGCCAGUGAUAAGCUGGAGGAAGGUGGGGAUGACGUCAAGUCCUCAUGGCCCUUACGUGUUGGGCUACACACGUGCUACAAUGGUAUCUACAACAGGAAGCAAGACGGCGACGUUUAGCAAAUCCUUAAAAGAUACCUCAGUUCGGAUUGCACUCUGCAACUCGAGUGCAUGAAGCUGGAAUUACUAGUAAUCGUGGAUCAGCGUGCCACGGUGAAUGCGUUCCCGGGUCUUGUACACACCGCCCGUCACACCAUGGGAGUUGGUUCUACCUUAAGGCAAGGUUUAAAACCCUUGACCACGGUAUAGUCAGCGACUGGGGUGAAGUCGUAACAAGGUAACC
rnacentral:rRNA from 1 species